CCUACGGGUGGCUGCAGUGGGGGAUAUUGCACAAUGGGGGAAACCCUGAUGCAGCGACGCCGCGUGGGUGAAGAAGGGCCUCGGCGCGUAAAGCCCUGUCAGCAGGGAAGAAAAUGACGGUACCUGAAGAAGAAGCCCCGGCUAACGACGUGCCAGCAGCCGCGGUAAUACGUAGGGGGCAAGCGUUAUCCGGAUUUACUGGGUGUAAAGGGGGCGGAGACGGCAAAGCAAGCAAGGAGUGAAAGCCCGGGGCCCAACCCCGGGACUGCUCUUGGAACUGUGGGGCUGGAGUGCAGGAGGGGUAGGAGGAAUUCCUGGUGUAGCGGUGAAAUGCGUAGAUAUCAGGAGGAACACCAGUGGCGAAGGCGGCUUGCUGGACUGCAACUGACGUUGAGGCCCGAAAGCGUGGGGAGCAAACAGGAUUAGAUACCCCUGUAGUA
rnacentral:rRNA from 1 species